rnacentral:misc_RNA from 1 species
AGCUGGCCUCAGUGCAUGUAAACCCGGCGAGGUUAUCACACGCGUCUUGCUACUUAUCCCAUCCACCAGUCAGUCAUUGGCAAGAGGUCCUACAAUACGACACACGAAGACACGUUCGGACAUCGCAUACGACACGCGGGAUUAUUGACUAACGUGUUUGAAAAGUGAGUUCUCUGUGAUAUGACAUUACUCUAAGCGAAGUUUAAGUGAUAAUAGACGAAACGUUAGUUACAUCACGUUGACGUUGGUGUAAAUAUAUUCCCAGAGUGAGAAGUAUAUGAACCCAGUGACCAACAUGGACAACGUGUGUGUUUGAACGUCCGUUGUUGUUUUUUCUAGUCGGCGGAAGGGCGCGAGCGGCUGAGGCGUGAUGGUUGCUCCUCACAACAACGGGCGCUUGACGAGGUCUCUCGUGAGGAUACCAGGAAGCGGCUCCUGCAGGGAUGCCGGCUCGGCGUACCAGGACUUCUCUCGCGUGUCCGCUGUGGCCGCCAUGGUCGCUGCCCAACACCCGCCGCCACAGGCCAUGAUGCAGCCGCGGCGGCCCAGGGACUGGACUCGCUUCGGCGACGCGGCGGCCUUCGGGAAGACAGCAGCGGGGAGUGACAGCUCGAGUUCCGGGGCUGUCAAGGUCGAGGCUGGCGGAGCGGAUUCGAGGGGGACCGAGAGGGGGCUGGCUCCCCUGGAGGACCUGCAUGCGGCAGGUCACAGUCCCGGAGAGCUGCAUGCGGCAGGUCACAGUCCCAGGGUCUCUGCAGACACUCGCCGCGGCAUUGGUGGUCCGCCGCACGCGACCGGCGCGGGAAGCAAGCGCCCUCGACCACAGUCCGCCGAGGGAGACGAGGAAGCUCCUCCUCGAGCCAAGACGCCCAGAGUGAUGUACAUAACCGUGCCCGUCGUCGCCACCGCAGGAGCCGCCGUUCCGGUGACGCAAGACCCAGCCGCCCGUCACCCUGGGACGCCCAGCACCGAAUCCCCCGCGCCGGUCCUCGCCCACAGGAUGGUUCCCGCAGGACGCCCCUUCAUGCUCACCGACACAUCCCUGAAGCAGCUGAUGGACGAGAGGAACCAGCUCCUGCAGGACAACCUGGCCUUGUCGCAGAGGGUGAGCGCCUUCCAGCAGCUCUUCCGGAGCAGGAGCCGCCUCGCGCGAGUCCUGGGGACCCUCGGCCUCACGGUCGUGUGAGGCGACAGCGGAACCUUCUCUCAGCGGGACUUUAAUAAGCGGGAAUUUUAAAGCCAACCUACGCUCUACAUACGUCACGUUUAGUGGACAAUGACGAGUCCUAUCUAUAUAAAUAUCUUAAGUGCCAUUAUCCAUAAAAGAAUCAUUAUCAAUACGCGUUGAUUACUAAUUGAUGUUGUAGUUGUGAAAUAAAACAAUCGCAAUGUUCCUAAAUGUGUUUUUCCUGAUUCAGGUGUCCACUACUCAGGCAGUGUGUGAUAUUGACUUUAGGAAAAGAGUUAUUGUAUAUAUGUGGAGUAAUUUAUUUAUAUUUUUGUAAAUUAACCAAAUAAAAUGGUAUCAAUUACA